rnacentral:rRNA from 1 species
GACGAACGCUGGCGGCGUGCCUAAUACAUGCAAGUCGAGCGCAGGAAAUCGACGGAACCCUUCGGGGGGAAGUCGACGGAAUGAGCGGCGGACGGGUGAGUAACACGUAAAGAACCUGCCCUCAGGUCUGGGAUAACCACGAGAAAUCGGGGCUAAUACCGGAUGGGUCAUCGGACCGCAUGGUCCGAGGAUGAAAGGCGCUUCGGCGUCGCCUGGGGAUGGCUUUGCGGUGCAUUAGCUAGUUGGUGGGGGAAUGGCCCACAAAGGCGACGAUGCAUAGCGGACCUGAGAGGGUGAUCGGCCACACUGGGACUGAGACACGGCCCAGACUCCUACGGGAGGCAGCAGUAGGGAAUCUUCCACAAUGGACGAAAGGCUGAUGGAGCAACGCCGCGUGAACGAUGAAGGCCUUCGGGUCGUAAAGUUCUGUUGUAAGGGAAGAACAAGUGCCGCAGGCAAUGGCGGCACCUUGACGGUACCUUGCGAGAAAGCCACGGCUAACUACGUGCCAGCAGCCGCAGUAA